rnacentral:rRNA from 1 species
AUUGAACGCUGGCGGCAGGCUUAACACAUGCAAGUCGAACGGUAACAGGCCGCAAGGUGCUGACGAGUGGCGAACGGGUGAGUAAUGCAUCGGAACGUGCCCAGUCGUGGGGGAUAACGCAGCGAAAGCUGCGCUAAUACCGCAUACGAUCUAUGGAUGAAAGCGGGGGACCGUAAGGCCUCGCGCGAUUGGAGCGGCCGAUGUCAGAUUAGGUAGUUGGUGGGGUAAAGGCUCACCAAGCCAACGAUCUGUAGCUGGUCUGAGAGGACGACCAGCCACACUGGGACUGAGGCACGGCCCCGACUCCUACGGGAGGCAGCAGUGGGGAAUUUUGGACAAUGGGCGCAAGCCUGAUCCAGCAAUGCCGCGUGCAGGAAGAAGGCCUUCGGGUUGUAAACUGCUUUUGUACGGAACGAAACGGUCCUGGUUAAUACCUGGGGCUAAUGACGGUACCGUAAGAAUAAGCACCGGCUAACUACGUGCCAGCCGCCGCGGUAAGAC